AUGCUUCUGUCACUUUCUGUCUGUACCAAAAGAAGUAAAGAACCUUACCCAUCUCUCUCUCCUCUGUUUCUUUCAUGUUUUAUGAGAGCUUCUUAAGAAACUUCUGGCCUAUGGGUUUAUGUAGAAACUAGAGAGCAAGUGAGAGGAAAGAGAAGGUUUUGUUCCUUUUGGGCGUGGAACUUUAACUUCCACAAGUCAGGUUUAGAUCUUCUACUUCUUCAGCUUCUGAUUCGUCCAGAAGCUUUCCAAAUCUGAGAUCUGACAUGGAACACCAAGGUUGGAGUUUUGAGGAGAAUUACAAUCUGUUCAAUAAUAGAAGAUUUAUAAGGCCACAAGAUGAACUAGUAGAGUUGUUAUGGCGAGAUGGGCAAGUGGUUCAGCAGAGCCAAACUCAUAGAGAUCAAACUCAAGCUCAAGUUCAAGCUCAGAAACAGGAUCAAGAAACCCUAAGAUCCUACACUUUUCUUGAAGACCAAGAAACCGUCUCUUGGAUCCAAUACCCUCUAGAUGAAGAUCCAUUUGAAUCCGAAGACUUCACCUCACCUUUCUUCUCAACUAUAGAUCCCCUCCAGAGACCGGCUUCAGAGACGGUUAAGCACGAGGCCGGUCCUGUCCCUCCUGAUAAAGUCAUGCCUCCUCCUAAGUUUAGGCUAACGGAUUCAUCAUCAGGAGUCAGGGAACUAGGAAAAGAACAGUACUCGGUGAUGACCGUUGGACCGAGCCACUGCGGGAGCAACCAAUCUCAAACCGAUCUCGAUGUCUCAUUGACUCAUGAUCCAAGUAAAACAAUCGAUGAGAGGCUCUACUCGAACGAAAAUUCAUCAUCAGGUGGCUCCUCUGGUUGCAGCCUUGGCAAGAACAACAAAGAAAUAGCUUGUGGAAGAAGCAUCACAGCAGACCGUAAGAGAAAACAUAUAAUGGACACUGAUGAAUCUGUGUCUCAGUCAGAUGCUAUCGGUAAUAACAAGUCGAACCAACGAUCAGGAUCAACCCGAAGAAGUCGAGCAGCUGAAGUUCAUAAUCUUUCCGAAAGGAGGAGGAGAGAUAGGAUCAAUGAGAGAAUGAAGGCUUUGCAAGAACUAAUACCUAACUGCAUAAAAACUGAUAAAGCUUCAAUUUUGGAAGAAGCCAUAGAUUAUUUGAAGUCACUUCAGUUACAGCUCCAAGUUAUGUGGAUGGGGAGUGGAAUGGCUGGUGCUGCAGCGACUCCUAUUAUGUUCCCUGGGGUACAGCCUCCUCCACCGUUCAUCCGUCAGCUGCAAAGCCCGGUACUGUUGCCACGAUUUCCGGUUAUGGACGGGUCUGCUAUUCAGAACAAUCCUGGUUUAGUUUGUCAAAACCCGGUACAAAACCAAGUUUUGCCCGAUCGGUUUGGUAGAUAUGUUGGCCUAUUCCCACGUAUGCAGGGCACGUCUCAGCCGAUGGAGAUGAUGACAUUUGGUUCUCCGGCGGGACAGGAAAGUCAACGUACUUCUGCGCCGAAGACCACCGACGGACCUCGUUAGGGCCACUAAGCGCCUGUGCCAUUUUUUCUUUCUUUUGUGGUUUGUUUGGUUGUUGGGGCAUUCUUCGUUAUUUAUAUAAUCUUUUGAACAUAGUUUAAACGUUAUUUUCUGUAUAUGCGAGUUUAUGUAUGUUAACCUUAAUGUCAAAUGACAUGAGCUUUUCAUAAUCGUCCAGAACCAUAAAAUGUAAAAUACAUGUUUGGUAUGUGGUUCAUAUUUCACAAAUAAAAUUAUGCAUUAGUCUCA